GACGAACGCUGGCGGCGUGCUAAACACAUGCAAGUCGAACGGAAAGGCCCCUUUGGGGGUACUCGAGUGGCGAACGGGUGAGUAACACUUGAGUAACCUGCCCUUGACUUCGGGAUAACUUCAGGAAACUGGGGCUAAUACCGGAUAGGAAUCCUUGCUGCAUGGGGGGGGUUGGAAAGCUUCGGCGGUUUUGGAUGUACUUGCGGCUUAUCAGCUUGUUGGUGGGGUAGUGGCUUACCAAGGCUUUGACGGGUAGCCGGCCUGAGAGGGCGACCGGCCACAUUGGGACUGAGAUACGGCCCAGACUCCUACGGGAGGCAGCAGUGGGGAAUAUUGCCCAAGGGGCGGAAGCCUGAUGCAGCAACGCCGCGUGCGGGAUGACGGCCUUCGGGUUGUAAACCGCUUUCAGCAGGGGCGAAGCUUGUGGUGACGGUACCUGCAGAAGAAGCACCGGCUAACUACGUG
rnacentral:rRNA from 1 species